rnacentral:lncRNA from 1 species
ACGCGGGGCUCCAGCUUGCCGCGGCCAGCCGGCCGCCUGCUCGCACCCCGCCCGGGCCGCCCCCCGCCAUGAGCGCCGCGCGCUGGCUGCAGGCAGAGUCGCUGCCGCCCGGCCGCCGCUGGCUCCAGUCCGCCGCCAUUAUUCUUUGUUCGCUGCGAGCGGCGGCGGUGUUGUGGGGCUCGGGCGGAGGCUCCAUCUUUACCGCGGCCCCUCCUGCGAGGGGAAGGCCCCGAGCGCGGGUGUCCGGCGCCUCCCCGGCCCCCCUCCGUCCCCCCGGCUCUCUCCGGCUCCUGCCUCCUCCUCCUGCUCCUCUUACCGGUGGUACAAGCUCCUCCGUCACUGCUUUCGUUCGCGGCCCGGAUCUCGCUGGAGUUUUAUUCUCUCCCCCACGUAACACACCGCGUCAAACUACACCUCCGCCGCGUCACUCACCAACACUCCGCUUCUCCCAGCCGCCCGGGCCACAGGCAGCAGCAGCCGCCGCCGACUGAGGAGCCGCAGCCAGGGAGCCAGCCAGCGCCGCCCAGUGCCGAGUGCGCAGCGGCCACUCACGGAAACAGCCGAGCUCGGCCCGGAGCCGCUCGAGAGGCCCCGCCCCCACGCUGGCGGCGGAACCUGCCGAAGGCUUUCGGCCUCUUCCGGGAGCAGCAAAGGCAUGGAUCGCGGAAGACAGGUGUAGGCGGGUUGAGACCCGCUCUGCUGGAGCGGUCCAAACCUCAAUACGGCGAGCUGAGGCUUCAAACGCCGGCUGAGGAAAUUUGGAGGAAGCGGGGUUUGAGUGCGGCCAGAUCGGGGGAUUCCCGGGGUGGCGGGGACUUGAUGGAAACCCCCGCGCGGUCUGAUCCUGCGGCGGAAGCAGACCGCCCGGGAACUUUGACAAGCCGCGAGGGUCAGGAGCCGUGCCGGCGAGCUGGAAGGGCAGGCGGACGCCGGCCACCAGCAAGGGGAAUCUGCCGAGAACUGUCUAAAGGGCCCCAGGUGGUUCUUUGCCGGAAUGAAAGCUACCUGACACGUGGCAUGUGAGAUUCUGCUUGGCUGCCUGUACAGCCAGAGCCCUGCGGGGAGGAAAACCAUAGGACACAGAAGAGGCUGAUUUGGAGCAGAGAGAGCAUCCAGAUGUGGGGGUGACAGAUGGAAUCGGCAGGGAAGGAUUUGUUCUCGGGAUCCUUAAGGCUCUAUUGGCUGUGACAGUUUCUCAGACUUUUCUCCUUCGAUGGACCUGAGAGUUUAAAGAAGACUGUCAUUGUGGAAGGCCUGUCCUUCAUUACAAUUUGUCCUCGGCAUAUUGUCCACUCACUCACAGUAACCCUGUGAUGGAAACACAGUUUGAGACGGCUAGUCUUAAUUGUCAACUUGACAAAGAGACUCAAUGAAGAUUGACCUGUGGACAUGUCUAUGGGGAAUUGUCUUAAUAACGCCAAUUGAUGUGUGAAGACCCAGCCCUGUAUAGGCCGCACUGUUCCCUAGGGGAUCCUAAACUGUGUAAGAAUGGAGAAAUGGAGCUGAGCACAAGCAAAUAAGCAACUAUAUUGCCCUUGGUGCUCUCCCAUGGGAGGAUCUGCUUCCUACACAUCUCCUUGGCUGCCAGCCCUUCUGGUCCUGUUGAUAAGCAAUUCCAGUUCCAGGAACUCCUGAGUCUGUUUGCUGCCUUAGGACAGAUGAUUGAUAGGGAAGGACAGCUGUCCUAUGGAGCCACCUGAAGCCCCUACUCCACAGACUCUUAGCUUCUGGCGAUGCUGCUAUUUUCCUGUUCCUGCCCUGAUUCCCUCAGUGAUGGACUGUAAAGUAUAAGCUGAAAUAAAC